UCUUUUACAGGAAAUGGUCAUUGUGCUGGA
rnacentral:piRNA from 1 species